UUACUUACUUAUUUGAGAAAGAGAGCACAAACGAGAGAGGAAGAGGGGAUCUCAAGUACCAAGGAAAGCAGCGGCAGCCCCAGCCAGUGGGGCAGCUCCCCGUUCUGGAAAUGCACAAGAUAAGAGAAUCUGUUCCCGCUGAGCUUAUCGAUAUGGGGGCCAAGUCCCAGCGAAAGGGCCAGGGAAAUUAUCCAGGCAAGUGCAGUGCCCCUAUGGGAUCCAGACGAUGGAGUUUCUCUUCCUGGGCAAGAGGCCGAGAAAAUGAGCAGCACCAGCGCACACCCCACCCUCUGAGAGCACCUGCAUGGGCCUCAAGGUACUCGCUGCCUUACAGAGUGGAUUCUUCUAGCCUGCAGGGAGGCUUGGCCCAAUGAGGAGGACCCCCUGAGCACGCGCCCUGGAAAUCGAUAGAAAAGGUGCUGAACCCCCACCCCAGGCUCCCAGAAUUCAGAGAGCUGAUGCCCCAGCCCAGGGAGGAGGCCUGGCCACCAUUCUUUCAGCAGAUACCACAGACUGGAACAACACCCCAGGUAACUGCCAAAGGAGUCGUCGGGGGCCAUCCACCGGAGUUCCCAACCAGUAAGGCAUUGCCAAGUUUAUUUUGUUGUCCCUUUCCUGCUGACGGUUCUUUUUUUUUUUUAAAGUUCAUUUAUUGAAUCAUCUCCACACCCAGAGUGGGACUUGAACUCACGACCCUGAGAUCCAGAGUCACACGCUGUACUGACUGAGCCACUGAGGCGCCCCUGAGCAAGGGCUCUAACUAUGGUUUGGUUUGUGAGGUCCAUUAUCUGGCCCAACCCAAGCUUUCCCCUGUCACCGAGGUGCAAAGCAGGCUGCCUCCCUUAAGGGAUUAGAGACACUGAGUAUGAUGUAUGGAAAUCCUCAUCAAGUGGACAGUGAUUGGGGUCACGUUUUGAGGGUCAUGGUGUGCAAGACUGGGCAGAAGAACAGGGAAUGGGGGCUCCAUCUCCCCGUUCAGCCAUGAGCAGCAUGGUUGGGAGAAAGGAAGAAUGGACUAUUAAAGCAGCAGGUUAAACUGCUAACAGGUAAAGCCAGCUUGGCAGGGUGGACAAAGAGACUGUCGCAGGCUUAAGGCAUUGGAAUGAUCAACCCACCACCCCAUCUGCCAGCCUGGGGACCCCUGACAAGGCACCCAAUCCUGCAAAGCUGUUGGGCGUCUCCGGAGACAGCGAUGGCCCUGACUCUUGCUGGGACCAGCAUGCUGUGCUGUUGAGGACACCAAGCCCCAUCCCACCAGGGAGAGGUGUUAUCUACUGGAACUGACAACGGGAAGUCCCCCCGAGCUGCGUGAGUUACUUCAGUCUUCAGUCUCCACUGGGAUCCUGUUGUCCUGCUAUUAAGACCGAUCUGUGGAAUCCCACUAAACCUGGAAUGGACCACACACCCCAGAAAGAGGGGAGAACACACAGAUCCUGAACCUGUUCUGCCCCUCGUCCUGUCUCUUCACAUCUCCCCUGGCCAACAGGUCAGGCCUGGUACGUACAACCCAGCCAGGUUCCUAAAGCGGCAGCCACAUUAACAAGACUUCCCUGUACAAGUUUCUACUACAUAGCUGUCUUUUUGGCCUUAGACUUGGCUGCCCCGGGGGUGUCCGGUCAUGGGAUGGGCACCCAAGGGAACUACCUUUCUACUGAGGACCCACUUGUGUACCUGGCAAAGGAGUCAAUCCACACCUGUGGGGAUUCGGGCAGCUGUCCCUCUUUAGCUUGUCAGGAUUGCUGUGGUGGGUACCACUCCUCCAGGAAGCGGAGCAGAAGGCACACAAGCAGUUCAUUAAGGAAGCAUAAGCUAGGACAGGUGCUCCUAAUUCAGCGGAUAUUACCAAUACUGAUCCAGAAAUCUGGCCUAUGGCACAUCUCUGAAUAACACUGGGCAUGAAAGGAGGUGCCCAGAUGGCUUAGUCAUUGGGUGUCUGCUUUCGGCUCAGAUCAUGAUCCCAGGGUCCUAGG